rfam:Angiostrongylus cantonensis strain Taiwan genome assembly, scaffold: ACAC_contig0012949
AGCGCGAUGGCCGAGUGGUUAAAUCGUUGGACUUAAGUUCCAAUGGACGCAAGCCUUCUUGGGUUCGAACAACACUCGCGCUA